rnacentral:rRNA from 1 species
UACGUAGGGGGCAAGCGUUGUCCGGAAUCGUUGGGCGUAAAGCGCGUGUAGGCGGUCCGGUAAGUCCGCUGUGAAAGUCGGGGGCUCAACCCUCGGAUGCCGGUGGAUACUGUCGGGCUUGAGUACGGAAGAGGCGAGUGGAAUUCCUGGUGUAGCGGUGAAAUGCGCAGAUAUCAGGAGGAACACCAAUUGCGAAGGCAGCUCGCUGGGACGUUACUGACGCUGAGACGCGAAAGCGUGGGGAGCAAACAGG